rnacentral:rRNA from 1 species
GAUGAACGCUGGCGGCGUGCCUAAUACAUGCAAGUCGAGCGAAUGGAUUAAGAGCUUGCUCUUAUGAAGUUAGCGGCGGACGGGUGAGUAACACGUGGGUAACCUGCCCAUAAGACUGGGAUAACUCCGGGAAACCGGGGCUAAUACCGGAUAACAUUUUGAACCGCAUGGUUCGAAAUUGAAAGGCGGCUUCGGCUGUCACUUAUGGAUGGACCCGCGUCGCAUUGGCUAGUUGGUGAGGUAACGGCUCACCAAGGCAACGAUGCGUAGCCGACCUGAGAGGGUGAUCGGCCACACUGGGACUUAGACACGGCCCAGACUCCUACGGGAGGCAGCAGUAGGGAAUCUUCCGCAAUGGACGAAAGGCUGACGGAGCAACGCCGCGUGAGUGAUGAAGGCUUUCGGGUCGUAAAACUCUGUUGUUAGGGAAGAACAAGUGCUAGUUGAAUAAGCUGACACCUUGACGGUACCUAACCAGAAAGCCACGGCUAACUACGUGCCAGCCGCCGCAGUAA